AGAGUUUGAUCCUGGCUCAGGACGAACGCUGGCGGCGUGCCUAAUACAUGCAAGUCGAGCGGACCUGUUUUGAAGCUUGCUUCGAAACAGGUUAGCGGCGGACGGGUGAGUAACACGUGGGCAACCUGCCCGUAAGACCGGGAUAACUUGCGGAAACGUGAGCUAAUACCGGAUAGUUUUCCUUCCUGCAUGGGAAGGAAAGGAAAGGUGGCGCAAGCUACCACUUACGGAUGGGCCCGCGGCGCAUUAGCUAGUUGGUGGGGUAACGGCCUACCAAGGCGACGAUGCGUAGCCGACCUGAGAGGGUGAUCGGCCACACUGGGACUGAGACACGGCCCAGACUCCUACGGGAGGCAGCAGUAGGGAAUCUUCCGCAAUGGACGAAAGUCUGACGGAGCAACGCCGCGUGAGCGAAGAAGGCCUUCGGGUCGUAAAGCUCUGUUGUCAGGGAAGAACAAGUACCGGAGUAACUGCCGGUACCUUGACGGUACCUGACGAGAAAGCCACGGCUAACUACGUGCCAGCCGCCGCGGUAAUUC
rnacentral:rRNA from 1 species